AUUGAACGCUGGCGGCAUGCUUUACACAUGCAAGUCGAACGGCAGCACGGGCUUCGGCCUGGUGGCGAGUGGCGAACGGGUGAGUAAUAUAUCGGAACGUACCCAGAAGUGGGGGAUAACGUAGCGAAAGUUACGCUAAUACCGCAUCCGAUCUAUGGAUGAAAGCAGGGGACCGCAAGGCCUUGUGCUCCUGGAGCGGCCGAUAUCUGAUUAGCUAGUUGGUGAGGUAAAGGCUCACCAAGGCGACGAUCAGUAGCUGGUCUGAGAGGACGACCAGCCACACUGGAACUGAGACACGGUCCAGACUCCUACGGGAGGCAGCAGUGGGGAAUUUUGGACAAUGGGCGCAAGCCUGAUCCAGCAAUGCCGCGUGAGUGAAGAAGGCCUUCGGGUUGUAAAGCUCUUUUGUCAGGGAAGAAACGGUAGAGGCUAAUAUCCUUUGCUAAUGACGGUACCUGAAGAAUAAGCACCGGCUAACUACGUG
rnacentral:rRNA from 1 species